AGCGUACACGGUGGAUGCCCUGGCAGUCAGAGGCGAUGAAGGACGUGCUAAUCUGCGAUAAGCGUCGGUAAGGUGAUAUGAACCGUUAUAACCGGCGAUUUCCGAAUGGGGAAACCCAGUGUGAUUUGUCACACUAUCAUUAACUGAAUCCAUAGGUUAAUGAGGCGAACCGGGGGAACUGAAACAUCUAAGUACCCCGAGGAAAAGAAAUCAACCGAGAUUCCCCCAGUAGCGGCGAGCGAACGGGGAGGAGCCCAGAGCCUGAAUCAGUGUGUGUGUUAGUGGAAGCGUCUGGAAAGGCGCGCGAUACAGGGUGACAGCCCCGUACACAAAAACGCACAUGCUGUGAGCUCGAUGAGUAGGGCGGGACACGUGGUAUCCUGUCUGAAUAUGGGGGGACCAUCCUCCAAGGCUAAAUACUCCUGACUGACCGAUAGUGAACCAGUACCGUGAGGGAAAGGCGAAAAGAACCCCGGCGAGGGGAGUGAAAAAGAACCUGAAACCGUGUACGUACAAGCAGUGGGAGCCUCUUUUAUGGGGUGACUGCGUACCUUUUGUAUAAUGGGUCAGCGACUUAUAUUCUGUAGCAAGGUUAACCGAAUAGGGGAGCCGAAGGGAAACCGAGUCUUAACUGGGCGUUAAGUUGCAGGGUAUAGACCCGAAACCCGGUGAUCUAGCCAUGGGCAGGUUGAAGGUUGGGUAACACUAACUGGAGGACCGAACCGACUAAUGUUGAAAAAUUAGCGGAUGACUUGUGGCUGGGGGUGAAAGGCCAAUCAAACCGGGAGAUAGCUGGUUCUCCCCGAAAGCUAUUUAGGUAGCGCCUCGUGAAUUCAUCUCCGGGGGUAGAGCACUGUUUCGGCAAGGGGGUCAUCCCGACUUACCAACCCGAUGCAAACUGCGAAUACCGGAGAAUGUUAUCACGGGAGACACACGGCGGGUGCUAACGUCCGUCGUGAAGAGGGAAACAACCCAGACCGCCAGCUAAGGUCCCAAAGUCAUGGUUAAGUGGGAAACGAUGUGGGAAGGCCCAGACAGCCAGGAUGUUGGCUUAGAAGCAGCCAUCAUUUAAAGAAAGCGUAAUAGCUCACUGGUCGAGUCGGCCUGCGCGGAAAGAUGUAACGGGGCUAAACCAUGCACCGAAGCUGCGGCAGCGACACUAUGUGUUGUUGGGUAGGGGAGCGUUCUGUAAGCCUGCGAAGGUGUGCUGUGAGGCAUGCUGGAGGUAUCAGAAGUGCGAAUGCUGACAUAAGUAACGAUAAAGCGGGUGAAAAGCCCGCUCGCCGGAAGACCAAGGGUUCCUGUCCAACGUUAAUCGGGGCAGGGUGAGUCGACCCCUAAGGCGAGGCCGAAAGGCGUAGUCGAUGGGAAACAGGUUAAUAUUCCUGUACUUGGUGUUACUGCGAAGGGGGGACGGAGAAGGCUAUGUUGGCCGGGCGACGGUUGUCCCGGUUUAAGCGUGUAGGCUGGUUUUCCAGGCAAAUCCGGAAAAUCAAGGCUGAGGCGUGAUGACGAGGCACUACGGUGCUGAAGCAACAAAUGCCCUGCUUCCAGGAAAAGCCUCUAAGCAUCAGGUAACAUCAAAUCGUACCCCAAACCGACACAGGUGGUCAGGUAGAGAAUACCAAGGCGCUUGAGAGAACUCGGGUGAAGGAACUAGGCAAAAUGGUGCCGUAACUUCGGGAGAAGGCACGCUGAUAUGUAGGUGAAGUCCCUCGCGGAUGGAGCUGAAAUCAGUCGAAGAUACCAGCUGGCUGCAACUGUUUAUUAAAAACACAGCACUGUGCAAACACGAAAGUGGACGUAUACGGUGUGACGCCUGCCCGGUGCCGGAAGGUUAAUUGAUGGGGUCAGCGCAAGCGAAGCUCUUGAUCGAAGCCCCGGUAAACGGCGGCCGUAACUAUAACGGUCCUAAGGUAGCGAAAUUCCUUGUCGGGUAAGUUCCGACCUGCACGAAUGGCGUAAUGAUGGCCAGGCUGUCUCCACCCGAGACUCAGUGAAAUUGAACUCGCUGUGAAGAUGCAGUGUACCCGCGGCAAGACGGAAAGACCCCGUGAACCUUUACUAUAGCUUGACACUGAACAUUGAGCCUUGAUGUGUAGGAUAGGUGGGAGGCUUAGAAGUGUGGACGCCAGUCUGCAUGGAGCCGACCUUGAAAUACCACCCUUUAAUGUUUGAUGUUCUAACGUGGACCCGUGAUCCGGGUUGCGGACAGUGUCUGGUGGGUAGUUUGACUGGGGCGGUCUCCUCCUAAAGAGUAACGGAGGAGCACGAAGGUUGGCUAAUCCUGGUCGGACAUCAGGAGGUUAGUGCAAUGGCAUAAGCCAGCUUGACUGCGAGCGUGACGGCGCGAGCAGGUGCGAAAGCAGGUCAUAGUGAUCCGGUGGUUCUGAAUGGAAGGGCCAUCGCUCAACGGAUAAAAGGUACUCCGGGGAUAACAGGCUGAUACCGCCCAAGAGUUCAUAUCGACGGCGGUGUUUGGCACCUCGAUGUCGGCUCAUCACAUCCUGGGGCUGAAGUAGGUCCCAAGGGUAUGGCUGUUCGCCAUUUAAAGUGGUACGCGAGCUGGGUUUAGAACGUCGUGAGACAGUUCGGUCCCUAUCUGCCGUGGGCGCUGGAGAACUGAGGGGGGCUGCUCCUAGUACGAGAGGACCGGAGUGGACGCAUCACUGGUGUUCGGGUUGUCAUGCCAAUGGCACUGCCCGGUAGCUAAAUGCGGAAGAGAUAAGUGCUGAAAGCAUCUAAGCACGAAACUUGCCCCGAGAUGAGUUCUCCCUGACUCCUUGA
rnacentral:rRNA from 1 species